UGCUUUUUUUUUUUCUUUUAAAUUUCGUCUUAGUUUUUCACCCAAUUCCCCCAUUGCGUUGGUUUUAUUUUUUUUUGCUUUCGUCAAUGGAGGGAUUUCGGGAGGUUUUGUGGGUGUGGAUUUUGGGUUGUAUGAGGCGGGAGGGAGACAUGAUUUGGUUUUGGGGUUUAAGCGAUUGAGUUAGAAAUUUUUUAAUUCUGGUGUCGUUAGUUGGGAGCUGGAUCGAUUUUUGUUGUAAAAAUCUCGUGUUUUUUUUUUUUGGCUAAUGUAGAUGGAGAAUUUGGAAGAUGACUGGCUCGAUUUGUGCGAGUUUAAGAGUGAAUCUGAUUUUGUAUGUGCUUGAUAACUUGUUUCAUAUAGGAUUUGAAAUUUUGGUUUUUACGUUUUCUAUUGGUGUAAGAAUUGACUUUUAUUAUGAACUUUAGGCGUUGCGCCUCAUUCCCUGGAUGAGGUGGUGGCAUAUGUGGAACUGGAAAAUGGGACAAAUGAUCACUUGAUCAAUCGCCAGUCUGAAGUUGUUAACAAUAUAUUCUUUGCUGCAGUUAAAUGUCAUUUUGAUGGGUGCAAAACUGCUAUGCAGUUCUAAGAAAUGCCUAUUUAUUCAUAAUAUUUUGGGUG
rnacentral:misc_RNA from 1 species